rnacentral:rRNA from 1 species
AACGUAGGAGCCAAGCGUUAUCCGAAUUCACUGGGCGUAAAGCGCGUGCAGGCGGCCGGAUAAGUUGGCUGUGAAAUCUCCCGGCUCAACUGGGAGAGGCCGGUCGAGACUAUACGGCUCGAGGACGGUAGAGGAAGGUAGAAUUCCCGGUGUAGUGGUGAAAUGCGUAGAUAUCGGGAGGAAUACCUGUGGCGAAAGCGGCCUUCUGGGCCGAUCCUGACGCUGAAGCGCGAAAGCCAGGGGAGCAAACGGG